rnacentral:rRNA from 1 species
UACGUAGGGUGCAAGCGUUAAUCGGAAUUACUGGGCGUAAAGCGUGCGCAGGCGGUUAUGUAAGACAGUUGUGAAAUCCCCGGGCUCAACCUGGGAACUGCAUCUGUGACUGCAUAGCUAGAGUACGGUAGAGGGGGAUGGAAUUCCGCGUGUAGCAGUGAAAUGCGUAGAGAUGUGGAGGAACACCGAUGGCGAAGGCAGCCCCCUGGGUUAACACUGACGCUCAGGCACGAAAGCGUGGGGAGCAAACAGG